rnacentral:rRNA from 1 species
UACGAAGGGUGCAAGCGUUACUCGGAAUUACUGGGCGUAAAGCGUGCGUAGGUGGUUGUUUAAGUCUGUUGUGAAAGCCCUGGGCUCAACCUGGGAAUUGCAGUGGAUACUGGGCGACUAGAGUGUGGUAGAGGGUAGUGGAAUUCCCGGUGUAGCAGUGAAAUGCGUGGAGAUCGGGAGGAACAUCCAUGGCGAAGGCAGCUACCUGGACCAACACUGACACUGAGGCACGAAAGCGUGGGGAGCAAACAGG